GAUGAACGCUCGCGGGAGGCCUAACACAUGCAAGCCGAGCGGUAUUGUUUCUUCGGACAUGAGAGAGCGGCGUACGGGUGCGUAACACGUGUGCAACCUGCCUUUAUCUGGGGGAUAGCCUUUCGAAAGGAAGAUUAAUACUCCAUAAUAUAUUGAACGGCAUCGUUUAAUAUUGAAAGCUCCGGCGGAUAGAGAUGGGCACGCGCAAGAUUAGCUAGUUGGUGAGGUAACGGCUCACCAAGGCGAUGAUCUUUAGGGGGCCUGAGAGGGUGAUCCCCCACACUGGUACUGAGACACGGACCAGACUCCUACGGGAGGCAGCAGUGAGGAAUAUUGGUCAAUGGGUGCAAGCCUGAACCAGCCAUCCCGCGUGAAGGACGACUGCCCUAUGGGUUGUAAACUUCUUUUGUAUAGGGAUAAACCUACCCUCGAGAGGGUAGCUGAAGGUACUAUACGAAUAAGCACCGGCUAACUCCGUG
rnacentral:rRNA from 1 species